rnacentral:lncRNA from 1 species
AUGGGUCCGUACCACAGGGUCCAUCCCUCAGGAGCAAACUGUUCCAACCUGGCUUCCCCACGGGCAGCAGCUCCUGCCAGGUCACCUGCUCCUGUGUGGGCUCCUCUCCACGGGCUACAGGUCCGGCCCGGAAUCUGCUCCGGCAGGGGUCUUCCACAGGCGGCAGCCUCCGUCAGUGCAGGGCCACCUGCUCCACCGUGGUCUCCUCCACGGGCUGCAGCGUGGAACCCUGCUCCACCGUGGUACUCCAUGGGCUGCAGGGGGACAUCCUGCUUCACCAUGGUCCUCGCCACAGGCCGCAGGGGACUUCUGCUCCGGCGCCUGGAGCACCUCUCCCCCUCCUUCUGCACUGACCUUGGCACCUGCAAGGCUGUUCCUCACUCCUCUCGCUCUCCCAGCUGCUGUGUGUUGCAGCGUUUUUUUUUCCCUGUCUUAAAUAUGCUCUCACAGAGGCGCAAAACAAUAUCGUUUAUUGGUUUGCCUCUGGUCAGCAGUGGGGCCCUUCCCAGACAUGGGGCAGCUUCUAGAUCCUUCUCACAGAAACCACCCCUAUGGCCCCCUGCUACCAAAACAUUGCCACGUAAACCCACUACAGUAGUGAGGGGCCCAAAACUAAACAUAGUACUUGAGGUGCAGCCUCACCAGAGCAGAAUACAAGGGGACAAUCAGCUCUCUGGUCCUGCUGGGUACACAAUUCCUGAUACAAGCCAGGAUGCCGUUGGCCUUCUUGGCCACCUGGGCACACUGCCAGCUCAUGUGCAGGUGAGCAUCAACCAGUACCCCCAGGUUCUUUUCCUCUGCACAGCUUUCCAGACACUUUCCCCCAAGCCUGUAGGACUGCAUGGGGUUGUUGUGACCAAAGUGCAGGACCCGGCACUUAGCCAUGUUGAACCUCAUUCCAUUGGCCUCUGUCCAUUGACCCAUCCUGUCCAGGUCCCUCUGCAGGGCCUUCCUACCCUCCGGCAGAUUGAUACUUCUGCCCAACCUGGUGUUUGCAAACAGUGA